rnacentral:lncRNA from 1 species
ACAGAUAUUCCAAAAAAGGAGAUAUAAACAUGACCAUAAAAGACAUGAAAAGAUGUUUAACCCCAUUAGUCAUCGUGGAAAUGCAAAUGAAAACCACCAUACAGACACUAGAGUGGUUUAAAUUUGAAUGACUUCCAACACCAAAUGCCAGACAGGACAUAGAGCAACUGGAUGUCUCAUGCUCACAGGCAGAAGGGAAAACUACUGUGUGUGACAGGAAGAUGGACUUACCCAACCUUCAGCAUUCUCAAUCUCUUGUCUAUUAACAUGUGUUUGAAACAUUAUGCAUUCAAAGCAAACAUCUGGGAGGAAGAUGGGAGAAGCCUUCUUGCCCCUGUUCUACAGAAGUAAUUGAAGUUCAUGACAUUCAAGCUCAUUCACCAGUAAAUGAAUUUGGGUCAUGCUUU